AUUGAACGCUGGCGGCAUGCCUUACACAUGCAAGUCGAACGGCAGCACGGGUGCUUGCACCUGGUGGCGAGUGGCGAACGGGUGAGUAAUACAUCGGAACGUACCUUAUCGUGGGGGAUAACGCAGCGAAAGCUGUGCUAAUACCGCAUACGCCCUGAGGGGGAAAGCGGGGGAUCGAAAGACCUCGCGCGAUUAGAGCGGCCGAUGCCUGAUUAGCUUGUUGGUGGGGUAAAAGCCCACCAAGGCGACGAUCAGUAGCUGGUCUGCGAGGACGAUCAGCCACACUGGGACUGAGACACGGCCCAGACUCCUACGGGAGGCAGCAGUGGGGAAUUUUGGACAAUGGGGCAACCCUGAUCCAGCAAUGCCGCGUGAGUGAAGAAGGCCUUCGGGUUGUAAAGCUCUUUUGUCAGGGAAGAAACACCGGCUCUAACACAGUCCGGGAAUGACGGUACCUGAAGAAUAAGCACCGGCUAACUACGUGCCAGCCGCCGCAGUAA
rnacentral:rRNA from 1 species